rnacentral:rRNA from 1 species
GACGAACGCUGGCGGCGUGCUUAACACAUGCAAGUCGAACGGAAAGGCCCUGCUUUUGUGGGGUGCUCGAGUGGCGAACGGGUGAGUAACACGUGAGUAACCUUCCCUUGACUUUGGGAUAACUUCAGGAAACUGGGGCUAAUACCGGAAAGGAGCUCCUGCUGCAUGGUGGGGGUUGGAAAGUUUCGGCGGUUGGGGAUGGACUCGCGGCUUAUCAGCUUGUUGGUGGGGUAGUGGCUUACCAAGGCUUUGACGGGUAGCCGGCCUGAGAGGGUGACCGGCCACAUUGGGACUGAGAUACGGCCCAGAGUGCUACGGGAGGCAGCAGUGGGGAAUAUUGCACAAUGGGCGGAAGCCUGAUGCAGCAGCGCCGCGUGCGGGAUGACGGCCUUCGGGUUGUAAACCGCUUUCGCCUGUGACGAAGCGUGAGUGACGGUAAUGGGUAAAGAAGCACCGGCUAACUACGUG